GUGAGGAAUAUUGGUCAAUGGGCGGGAGCCUGAACCAGCCAAGUCGCGUGAAGGAAGAAGGAUCUAUGGUUCGUAAACUUCUUUUGCAGGGGAAUAAAGUGCAGGACGUGUCCUGUUUUGUAUGUACCCUGAGAAUAAGGAUCGGCUAACUCCGUGCCAGCAGCCGCGGUAAUACGGAGGAUCCGAGCGUUAUCCGGAUUUAUUGGGUUUAAAGGGUGCGUAGGUGGUUUGAUAAGUCAGAGGUGAAAGUUUGCAGCUUAACUGUAAAAAUGCCGUUGAAACUGUCGGACUUGAGUGUAAAUGAGGUAGGCGGAAUGCGUGGUGUAGCGGUGAAAUGCAUAGAUAUCACGCAGAACUCCGAUUGCGAAGGCAGCUUACUAAGCUACAACUGACACUGAAGCACGAAAGCGUGGGGAUCAAACAGGAUUAGAAACCCCUGUAGUCC
rnacentral:rRNA from 1 species